GUGCUUAACACAUGCAAGUCGAACGAUGAAGCCCAGCUUGCUGGGUGGAUUAGUGGCGAACGGGUGAGUAACACGUGAGUAACCUGCCCUUAACUCUGGGAUAAGCCUGGGAAACUGGGUCUAAUACCGGAUAGGAGCGCCUACCGCAUGGUGGGUGUUGGAAAGAUUUAUCGGUUUUGGAUGGACUCGCGGCCUAUCAGCUUGUUGGUGAGGUAAUGGCUCACCAAGGCGACGA
rnacentral:rRNA from 1 species